rnacentral:rRNA from 1 species
UAGCCGUAAACGAUACUCGCUAGGUGUCGGCCACGGUGCGACCGUUGUCGGCGCCGUAGGGAAGCCGUGAAGCGAGCCACCUGGGAAGUACGGCCGCAAGGCUGAAACUUAAAGGAAUUGGCGGGGGAGCACAACAACGGGUGGAGCUUGCGGUUUAAUUGGAUUCAACGCCGGAAAUCUUACCGGGACCGACAGCAACAUGAAGGCCAAGCUGAAGACUUUGCCGGAUUAGCUGAGAGGAGGUGCAUGGCGUAGUCGUGU